rnacentral:lncRNA from 1 species
GGCUACCCGACGCCGACGCCGAAGCCGCCGGCCAAGGGGCCCAAGCCGGAGAAGCCCCCGACCAAGGGCCACGGCCACAAGCCGGAGAAGCCGCCCAAGGAGCACAAGCCGACUCCGCCCACCUACACCCCGAGCCCCAAGCCCACGCCGCCGCCGGCUACUCCCAAGCCGACGCCGCCCACCUACACGCCGAGCCCUAAGCCCAAGUCGCCGGUCUACCCUCCCCCGCCGAAAGCCAGUACUCCUCCGACCUACACCCCGAGCCCCAAGCCUCCGGCGACCAAGCCGCCUACCUACCCGACCCCCAAGCCACCAGCUACCAAGCCUCCGACACCUCCUGUGUACACUCCGAGCCCCAAACCACCGGUUACAAAGCCUCCUACACCCAAGCCGACCCCGCCGGUGUACACGCCGAACCCCAAGCCACCGGUUACCAAGCCUCCGACACACACGCCGAGCCCCAAGCCUCCGACAUCCAAGCCGACUCCGCCGGUGUACACACCGAGCCCCAAGCCACCGAAGCCGUCCCCGCCGACGUACACGCCGACCCCGAAGCCACCGGCUACCAAGCCGCCCACCUCAACUCCGACGCACCCUAAGCCGACGCCGCACACGCCUAUCCCCAAGCCCACGCCGCCAACCUACAAGCCGGCACCGAAGCCGACGCCGCCGGCGCCCACCCCGCCGAC